rnacentral:rRNA from 1 species
GAUGAACGCUGGCUACAGGCUUAACACAUGCAAGUCGAGGGGCAGCAUUCCGGUUGCUUGCAACCGGUGAUGGCGACCGGCGCACGGGUGAGUAACGCGUAUCCAACCUUCCCGCGACCAAGGGAUAACCUGCCGAAAGGCAGACUAAUACCUUAUGUCCUCCUUUGAAGGCAUCUGACGAGGAGCAAAGAUCCGUCGGUCACGGAUGGGGAUGCGUCCGAUUAGCUUGUUGGCGGGGCAACGGCCCACCAAGGCAUCGAUCGGUAGGGGUUCUGAGAGGAAGGCCCCCCACACUGGAACUGAGACACGGUCCAGACUCCUACGGGAGGCAGCAGUGAGGAAUAUUGGUCAAUGGGCGGAAGCCUGAACCAGCCAAGUAGCGUGCAGGAUGACGGCCCUACGGGUUGUAAACUGCUUUUAUGCGGGGAUAAAGUUGCCCACGUGUGGGUUUUUGCAGGUACCGCAUGAAUAAGGACCGGCUAAUUCCGUGCCAGCAGCCGCGGUAAUACGGAAGGUCCGGGCGUUAUCCGGAUUUAUUGGGUUUAAAGGGAGCGCAGGCCGCCGUGUAAGCGUGCCGUGAAAAGCAGCGGCCCAACCGCUGCCCUGCGGCGCGAACUGCUUGGCUUGAGUGCGCCGGAAGCGGGCGGAAUUCGUGGUGUAGCGGUGAAAUGCUUAGAUAUCACGAAGAACCCCGAUUGCGAAGGCAGCCCGCUGUGGCGCCACUGACGCUGAGGCUCGAAGGUGCGGGUAUCGAACAGG